UACAGAGGGUGCUAGCGUUGUUCGGAAUCAUUGGGCGUAAAGGGCGUGUAGGCGGUUUGCUAAGUCAUGUGUGAAAUCCCUCGGCUUAACCGGGGAACGACGCAUGAAACUGGCAAGCUAGAGUACCAAAGAGGGGGUGGAAUUCCCGGCGUAGCGGUGAAAUGCGUAGAUAUCGGGAGGAACACCUGUGGCGAAGGCGGCCUCCUGGUUGGAUACUGACGCUGAUACGCGAAAGCGUGGGGAGCAAACAGG
rnacentral:rRNA from 1 species